AGCUGGUCCAAUGGUGUUGAGUUGUUGGAACUGAUUAACAUUAGUGUCACUAAAAUUGAUGUAAAGCCCCCAUGCUAAAUUUGAUUGGCUUAAA
rnacentral:Y_RNA from 1 species